rnacentral:rRNA from 1 species
GACAGAGGGGGCAAGCGUUGCUCGGAAUUACUGGGCGUAAAGGGCGCGUAGGCGGGCUGGCAAGUCGGUCGUGAAAUCCCUCGGCUCAACCGAGGAACGUCGAUCGAUACUGCUGUUCUUGAGGAUUGCAGAGGAGACUGGAAUUCCCGGUGUAGCGGUGAAAUGUGUAGAGAUCGGGAGGAACACCGGUGGCGAAGGCGGGUCUCUGGGCAGUUCCUGACGCUGAGGCGCGAAAGCGUGGGGAGCAAACGGG